UACGGAGGAUGCAAGCGUUAUCCGGAUUUAUUGGGUUUAAAGGGUGCGCAGGCGGAAAGAUAAGUCAGUGGUGAAAAACUGCCGCUUAACGGUAGUCUUGCCAUUGAUACUGUUUUUCUUGAGUAUGGAUGAGGUAGGCGGAAUGUGCAGUGUAGCGGUGAAAUGCAUAGAUAUUGCACGGAACACCAAUUGCGUAGGCAGCUUACUGAGCCGACACUGACGCUGAGGCACGAAAGCGUGGGGAUCAAACAGGA
rnacentral:rRNA from 1 species